rnacentral:rRNA from 1 species
UACGUAGGGGGCGAGCGUUGUCCGGAUUUACUGGGCGUAAAGCGCGUGUAGGCGGCCCGUUAAGUGGGGUGUGAAAGCCCGGGGCUCAACCCCGGGACGCCGCUUCAAACUGGCGGGCUUGAGGACGGAAGAGGGGAGUGGAAUUCCUGGUGUAGCGAUGAAAUGCGUAGAGAUCAGGAGGAACACCCGUGGCGAAGGCGGCUCCCUGGUCCGUCCCUGACGCUGAGACGCGAAAGCGCGGGGAGCGAACGGG